GGCAGCAUGGUUCAGUGGUUUGAGUGUUGAACUAUGAUUCUAGGGACCAGGGUUUGAUUCCCGCUCAGCCA